GGACGACCAGUGGGGCCGGGCACCGUAGGCUGCCGUCGGCUGCCGUCGGCUCGGCGUGGGUGCGCGCGUAGACGCUGUCCAGGGCUUGUGGCGAUGUUCUCCCGACGGCGAUUCGUGACACCAUGAGCGAGUGGCCGACACCCGACUACGAGCCUCCGGAACAUGUGUUCAGUGUCAAUAUCUCCCGCGACGAGGUGGCCGGCUGGUGGGCGUCGGCCGGCGUGCUGACGCUGGUGCAGGCGCUGGGCAUCGCGCUG